rnacentral:rRNA from 1 species
AAAUGAAUUGACGGGGGCCCGCACAAGCAGCGGAGCAUGUGGUUUAAUUCGAAGCAACGCGAAGAACCUUACCAGAACUUGACAUCCCCUGCAUAAUCCGUAAUGGGAUGAAGUCCUUCGGGACAGGGAGACAGGUGGUGCAUGGUUGUCGUCAGCUCGUGUCGUGAGAUGUUGGGUUAAGUCCCGCAACGAGCGCAACCCCUAUACAUUAGUUGCUACCAUUAAGUUGAGCACUCUAAUUAGACUGCCGGAGACAAUUCGGAGGAAGGUGGGGAUGACGUCAAAUCAUCAUGCCCCUUAUGUUCUGGGCUACACACGUGCUACAAUGGGUAAAACAACGGGAAGCGAGAUAGUGAUAUCAAGCCAAUCCCUAAAAACUACUCUCAGUUCGGAUUGUAGGCUGCAACUCGCCUACAUGAAGCCGGAGUUGCUAGUAAUCGCGGAUCAGAAUGUCGCGGUGAAUACGUUCCCGGGCCUUGUACACACCGCCCGU